rnacentral:rRNA from 1 species
UCCCACAACUCAAUUGUGGAAAUGCAUUCAAAACUACCAGACUAGAGUACUGGAGAGGAGAGCGGAAUUCUUGGUGUAGCGGUGAAAUGCGUAGAUAUCAAGAGGAACACCGGUGGCGAAGGCGGCUCUCUGGACAGAUACUGACGCUGAGGCUCUAAAGUUAGGGGAGCAAACAGGAUUAGAUACCCUGGUAGUCCUAACUGUAAACGGUGUACACUUGGUGUGCGAGGAAUUGUCCCUUUGCGCGCCGUAGCUAACGCGUUAAGUGUACCGCCUGGGGAGUACGGUCGCAAGAUUAAAACUCAAAGGAAUUGACGGGGGCCCGCACAAGCAGUGGAGCAUGUGGUUUAAUUCGAGGCUACGCGAAGAACCUUACCUGGGUUUGACAUCCCCUGAAAUAUCGGUGAAAGCCGAUUUCCCUUUUGGGCAGGGAGACAGGUGCUGCAUGGUUGUCGUCAGCUCGUGUCGUGAGAUGUUGGGUUAAGUCCCGCAACGAGCGCAACCCUUGUCCUGUGUUACCAUCAUUAAGUUGGGGACUCACAGGAGACUGCCGGAGAUAAUCCGGAGGAAGGCGGGGAUGACGUCUAAUCAUCAUGGCCUUUAUACCCAGGGCUACACACGUGCUACAAUGGCCAACACAAUGGGNU